rnacentral:rRNA from 3 species
UUGGAGGGCAAGUCUGGUGCCAGCAGCCGCGGUAAUUCCAGCUCCAAUAGCGUAUAUUAAAGUUGUUGCAGUUAAAAAGCUCGUAGUUGAAUUUCGGGACCAUCAUGUCGGUCGUGCCUCGGUACGUACUGGUAUUGUUGGUUUCUCCCUUCUGACGAACCAUGAUGUCAUUUAUUUGGUGUUGUGGGGAAUCAGGACUGUUACUUUGAAAAAAUUAGAGUGUUUAAAGCAGGCUCACGCUUGAAUACAUUAGCAUGGAAUAAUGAAAUAGGACGUUUGAUUCUAUUUUGUUGGUUUCUAGGAUCGACGUAAUGAUUAAUAGGGAUAGUUGGGGGCAUUAGUAUUCAAUUGUCAGAGGUGAAAUUCUUGGAUUUAUUGAAGACUAACUACUGCGAAAGCAUUUGCCAAGGAUGUUUUCAUUAAUCAAGAACGAAAGUUAGGGGAUCGAAGACGAUCAGAUACCGUCGUAGUCUUAACCAUAAACUAUGCCGACUAGGGAUCGGAUGAUGUUAAUUUUUUAAUGACUCAUUCGGCGCCUUACGGGAAAC